UUAAUUGCAGUGAUGAGGACGAGUAAAGCAAAUACUUUCACAAGAGAUGGAAUGUCAUUGGCUGGGAACAUUCCUUGAACAGUAUGUUUGAAAACCACCUCGGAGCAGCGGGUUGAAAAGGCUUUUGCGUUAGUAGGCCAUGCCGUUGAUUACGUUACAGUCAAGAGCUCAAAUCAGGGUGGAACCGCGGGAACUUUUCCCGCCCCUUUC
rnacentral:ncRNA from 1 species